rnacentral:misc_RNA from 1 species
GAAAUGCGAUAACUAGUGUGAAUUGCAGAAUUCCGUGAAUCAUCGAGUCUUUGAACGCACAUUGCGCCCCCUGGUAUUCCGGGGGGCAUGCCUGUCCGAGCGUCAGUGCUGCCCAUCAAGCACGGCUUGUGUGUUGGGUCGUCGUCCCCUCUCCGGGGGGGACGGGCCCCAAAGGCAGCGGCGGCACCGCGUCCGAUCCUCGAGCGUAUGGGGCUUUGUCACCCGCUCUGUAGGCCCGGCCGGCGCUUGCCGAACGCAAAUCAAUCUUUUUCCAGGUUGACCUCGGAUCAGGUAGGGAUACCCGCUGAACUUAAGC